UCUGACCAAACGCAAGGCCAAAUUCGCACACCAGGAUCUGGAGGUUGGGCACCAGCGGGAGUGUCACUCCUUGGCGGAAUAUCGCCUCAUGAACGGCAGCAGAUCCCGCCGGGAGAAUCGACGCCUUCUCAUCCGCUGUCGGUGGACGCAGCUUCACCGACCCCGGCAACCGGAACGUCUGUUUCAGUCGGUUAACGGCAGCGGCUGUCAUCCGCCCACCUGCCUCGUCGACAGCGG
rnacentral:lncRNA from 1 species